CGUCACAGUGUGGGACAUGUGUCACAGCAACCCCACUUUUAGAAAAGAGUGUGGCCCCUUGCUGACUUCUGGGCUGGGACUCGCAGGGUCUGAGGCAAACUGGUGAAAAUAGACAUUAUCCUGAACAUAUCUGCUCAGAUGGCUGAGUUUGAUUUUGUACUUCAUUGCUAACCAAGGCUGAAUACUUCAAGGCUGAGUCAAACUACUCUAAAUAUGGGCUAUUUUAUCCAUCACUAAAUUAAAUGGCUUUACUGCUGAGACAAGGCAAUGUUGUAACAGCACACAGCACAACCCAGCAGUCAGAACAAGAAACAACGAAGGUGGUUUCUGACAGAAAGCGCUCAGGGUGUUUGAAGAGGCAGACUGCCAGGGCUCUACAGGUGUCAUCCUGCUCCCUAGUUCUCAGCUAGGACAGCAGCUCAGGAGAGAUGAAAGGAGGAAAGAUGAAACACAACAUGCCACGAACUUUCUCACUGCAAUGCUGAUUACUGCUAGCGAAAGAAAGCAAGCUAAGGAGGCACUGGAAAGACAGGCUCAGUCGAGUACCCCAUACCAAAUACUCUGAGAUGGUGAUUUGAACCCAGAACCACAUGUGGUAGUAUGUGUGCCUGUAAUGAUCUAAACUAGAAGCACAGACACAAAAGUGCUUGCAGCGUUGUCAGGCUCUUUCAUUUGGUCCCUGAUUUGGACUUCAGAACAUGCGCAACAAUAAACAGAGUAAAAGGUA